GGUGAAAGUGCGACAGACUAUACAUGCAGUCGAGCGGUAGCACACAAGAGCUUGCUCUCGGGUGACGAGCGGCGGACGGGUGAGUAAUGUCUGGGAAACUGCCUGAUGGAGGGGGAUAACUACUGGAAACGGUAGCUAAUACCGCAUAACGUCGCAAGACCAAAGUGGGGGACCUUCGGGCCUCAUGCCAUCAGAUGUGCCCAGAUGGGAUUAGCUAGUAGGUGGGGUAACGGCUCACCUAGGCGACGAUCCCUAGCUGGUCUGAGAGGAUGACCAGCCACACUGGAACUGAGACACGGUCCAGACUCCUACGGGAGGCAGCAGUGGGGAAUAUUGCACAAUGGGCGCAAGCCUGAUGCAGCCAUGCCGCGUGUAUGAAGAAGGCCUUCGGGUUGUAAAGUACUUUCAGCGGGGAGGAAGGCGAUAAGGUUAAUAACCUUGUCGAUUGACGUUACCCGCAGAAGAAGCACCGGCUAACUCCGUGCCAGCAGCCGCGGUAAUACGGAGGGUGCAAGCGUUAAUCGGAAUUACUGGGCGUAAAGCGCACGCAGGCGGUCUGUCAAGUCGGAUGUGAAAUCCCCGGGCUCAACCUGGGAACUGCAUUCGAAACUGGCAGGCUAGAGUCUUGUAGAGGGGGGUAGAAUUCCAGGUGUAGCGGUGAAAUGCGUAGAGAUCUGGAGGAAUACCGGUGGCGAAGGCGGCCCCCUGGACAAAGACUGACGCUCAGGUGCGAAAGCGUGGGGAGCAAACAGGAUUAGAUACCCUGGUAGUCCACGCCGUAAACGAUGUCGAUUUGGAGGUUGUGCCCUUGAGGCGUGGCUUCCGGAGCUAACGCGUUAAAUCGACCGCCUGGGGAGUACGGCCGCAAGGUUAAAACUCAAAUGAAUUGACGGGGGCCCGCACAAGCGGUGGAGCAUGUGGUUUAAUUCGAUGCACGCGAAAACCUUACCUGGUCUUGACAUCCACAGAACUUGCCAGAGAUGGCUUGUGCCUUCGGAACUGUGAGACAGUGCUGCAUGGCUGUCGUCAGCUCGUGUGUGAAAUGUUGGGUAAGUCCGCAACGAGCGCACCCUUAUCCUUUGUUGCCAGCGGUUCGCGGACUCAAAGAGACUGCAGUGAUAAACUGAGAGUGGGAUGACGUCAGUCAUCAUGCCUACGACAGGCUACCACGGCUCAUGCCAUACCAAAGAAAGCGACCUCGCGGAAGCAGCGGACCUUAAGAUGUCGAUCCGAUGAUCGCACUCGACCUGAUCGAUCGUGAAUUCGAUCAGAGUGCACAGGUAAAUAUCGUUUC
rnacentral:rRNA from 1 species